UAGGGAAUCUUCGGCAAUGGACGAAAGUCUGACCGAGCAACGCCGCGUGAGUGAAGAAGGUUUUCGGAUCGUAAAACUCUGUUGUUAGAGAAGAACAAGGACGUUAGUAACUGAACGUCCCCUGACGGUAUCUAACCAGAAAGCCACGGCUAACUACGUGCCAGCAGCCGCGGUAAUACGUAGGUGGCAAGCGUUGUCUGGAUUUAUUGGGCGUAAAGCGAGCGCAGGCGGUUUCUUAAGUCUGAUGUGAAAGCCCCCGGCUCAACCGGGGAGGGUCAUUGGAAACUGGGAGACUAGAGUGCAGAAGAGGAGAGUGGAAUUCCAUGUGUAGCGGUGAAAGGCGUAGAUAUAUGGAGGAACACCAGUGGCGAAGGCGGCUCUCUGGUCUGUAACUGACGCUGAGGAUCGAAAGCGUGGGGAGCAAACAG
rnacentral:rRNA from 1 species